rnacentral:rRNA from 1 species
AUACGGAGGGGGCUAGCGUUGUUCGGAAUUAUUGGGCGUAAAGGGCGCGUAGGCGGCUUGGUAAGUCAGACGUGAAAUCCCGCGGCUCAACCGCGGAACUGCGUUUGAAACUGCCGGGCUUGAGUCCCGGCGAGGGUAGCGGAAUUCCCAGUGUAGCGGUGAAAUGCGUAGAUAUUGGGAGGAACACCAGUGGCGAAGGCGGCUACCUGGACGGGUACUGACGCUGAGGCGCGAAAGCGUGGGGAGCAAACAGGAUUAGAUACCCUAGUAGUCC